GAAUGCUGACAUAAGUAACGAUAAAGCGGGUGAAAAGCCCGCUCGCCGGAAGACCAAGGGUUCCUGUCCAACGUUAAUCGGGGCAGGGUGAGUCGACCCCUAAGGCGAGGCCGAAAGGCGUAGUCGAUGGGAAACAGGUUAAUAUUCCUGUACUUGGUGUUACUGCGAAGGGGGGACGGAGAAGGCUAUGUUGGCCGGGCGACGGUUGUCCCGGUUUAAGCGUGUAGGCUGGUUUUCCAGGCAAAUCCGGAAAAUCAAGGCUGAGGCGUGAUGACGAGGCACUACGGUGCUGAAGCAACAAAUGCCCUGCUUCCAGGAAAAGCCUCUAAGCAUCAGGUAACAUCAAAUCGUACCCCAAACCGACACAGGUGGUCAGGUAGAGAAUACCAAGGCGCUUGAGAGAACUCGGGUGAAGGAACUAGGCAAAAUGGUGCCGUAACUUCGGGAGAAGGCACGCUGACAC
rnacentral:rRNA from 1 species